UACGUAGGGGGCAAGCGUUGUCCGGAUUUAUUGGGCGUAAAGCGCGUGUAGGCGGCCACAUAGGUCCGCUGUGAAAGCUCGAGGCUUAACCUCGAGAAGUCGGCGGAAACCAUCUGGCUAGAGUCCGGAAGAGGAGAGUGGAAUUCCCAGUGUAGUGGUGAAAUACGUAGAGAUUGGGAAGAACACCAGUGGCGAAGGCGGCUAUCUGGACGGUUUCUGACGCUAAGACGCGAAAAGCGUGGCGAGCAAACAGG
rnacentral:rRNA from 1 species